GAUGAAGAACGUAGCGAAAUGCGAUAAGUAAUGUGAAUUGCAGAAUUCAGUGAAUCAUCGAAUCUUUGAACGCACAUUGCGCCCGCUAGUAUUCUGGCGGGCAUGCCUGUCCGAGCGUCAUUUCAACCCUCAAGCCCCCGGGCUUGGUGUUGGGGAUCGGCGAGCCUCCGCGCCCGCCGUCCCCUAAAUCUAGUGGCGGUCUCGCUGUAGCUUCCUCUGCGUAGUAGCACACCUCGCACUGGGAAACAGCGCGGCCAUGCCGUAAAACCCCAACUUCUGAAUGUUGACCUCGGAUCAGGUAGGAAUACCCGCUGAACUUAAGCAUAUCAAUAAGCGGAGGA
rnacentral:misc_RNA from 1 species